UGCCAUCUCCCAAGCUGCUCCCAUCCGAUGCCACACACAUGCUUGCUCCGUCUGAGUGUGUCCUCUGCAGACUUCUUCUUGCACUAACUUGCUUUAGGUUGUCUGCUCACGGUGUCGGUCCCUGGCUGACCUUGCCUCCUUGCACGCAUUGCCAGACAAGCAGCAAACUCCUCAGAAGCAGUCAAGAUUUCCAUAUCACCGUUCCACCUCUCUGGAGCCCAAAGAGGGCUUCUCCUUAAGCGGACUUGCACAUCAGGAGCGACGGAGGAGUACGUUUCACUCCUAGUUUGGGGGAAUAUCUGGAGCUAGAGGACUGGACCUGAUCUGUAUCCUGAAAGCAAGCUUGAAAAUUCUUGUGCUAAAGACGAGGAAUUGCAUGGUUUGGCAAGCAGCAGGAGCCACAUGGCUUGGAAAGAACUGCCUCUGAUUCCCAACUGGCUUGUUUCUGAGACCUGCUGUGUCUUCAAAUUGGUUGAUGUGCUCUGAGUACAACCUUGGGAAUCUAUCCAGAACAAAGAUGAUCAGAUGCCAAGUCCUCCUUGGAAGUCUUGGAGCAGCAAGAGUCAUCUUAACUCUGCAUCAAUUAACAUCAAUUGAAAAGGGGGUUUCCUUGCUCUAUGGCACUCACAUCUGCCGGGUUGGACACCAAACCGACACCGUUACCAGGACGUCCCCGAUAAGACUGCAGUGUACCAAGACGGUGUUGAUGGCAACCACAUGCUUCUUGGGUCCACUCGUCACCACGGAUGGCAGGACUGACUUCUCCAGUGAUGCACUUCCGUGUCCGAAAGACGAAUCUAAGGCAGAGGUUGCGUUUAAUUAAGUUUUCCGCUCGUCUGUCUUGGCACAUGAUUUUGAGUUAUUUUUAAAAUUGCAUUUCUAAGAAAAAGGGAGACGAGGAGUGAGCCUUGUGAUCUAAGUAACUAGCAGGCCAGCGGACCAUCAGUGCUGUGUGGUACUUCGGCCCGUGCAGUCACGAGGAAUGAAUCCUCAAAUUCUUCCACGUUCCACAAAGGAAGGGAUAAACGUGAUCAGACCAGGGUUACAGACACGCUGCCCUUGCCUCUUUUAAAGCCGUGUGGAGCUUGGAUCUGCUUGGAGGCCGAGUGUUCUCUAUUGCACAAAUCAACCCUGAGUACAGGAGUUUUCAGGAAUUUACCAAGCCACUCUUUACAGAAGAAAGCUGUCACUGAAUUUUAACAGUCCUACAGAAUAAAAGAUAUGGUAGUCAACUAUGCUUGGGAAAUGUAAUUACAGAUUCAAUGUGUAAGGCCUGAAUGUGUUUCUCUAGGGCUUGUGCAUUGUGUAUUGCAGUAUUAUAGUGUGAGAAACCCAGGUGGUUUCUCAUACAGCGUGGCCCCAGCAUUUCUCAGAACACAGUUGUGGGAACCGUUUUUGGAAUUACAUUUUAAUUAAUUUCUGGUAUUCAUCUGAGUCAUCCCUGUUCAUGCAUCUAGAGGAAGUUAGGCAGACCAGCACAGGAACAGCUUAGGAACUUGGGCUUCUACUUCGUUUUUGGUUAUGUAUACUCCUCUGUAAUAAUGCACGUGACAGCCUCAUUUCCUCACCUAGAUGUACACACAUACCCCUUUCCCCAAUCAAUCUAUCCACCUCAAAACCAUCUCAGACCACUGUCUGAAUCGGGCUGUAGGUACCACCCUCCCCACACGUCUAUGCCCCUCAUACCCAGUAUAUCCAGGUAUGAAGAUCAGAAAGGCUGGUUCAGACUGACCUGGUUUUAGCUACAUGUGUAAUAAGGCAAACAUGUCUUUGUUAAUAGGACUCUCACAGAUGCAUUGUGGGAAAGGACAUGCAGAGGAGAAAAAUAAUUAUAUCCCCUCAUUUAUUAAGUGGGACAGAGAACCACCUUCUAGGUGCCCCUAAAUAACCAAACUUUGCCUGUUCUUGACCCCCAUAAAAGGAAGUCCCACCCAGUAGCUCAUCUUCGAGCGCCCUCAUCAGAUGGUGCAAGGUCAAUCUUGUCAGUGUGUCGUUUUCUAAUCCAUACUCUUGAUUCGCCCUGAGUAAAGUCAUGGGGCCACACUUGCAAAUCUGUAGUAGUCUGUGUUUUUAAUCUUCGCACAAGUGGCCAGGAACCUGAAGUCUCAGCGCCGGCCCUGACCACCAGCAGUGGCCUGAAAUCUCAGCAAGGGGCGGGGUUACCAGAGCACAGACUACUGCCCAGCGCUAGGUGAGUGGCGGUGACAGACACAGCAACAUAAGUGCCAAGCCAUCACAGUUCACUUUACUGGGUUACUACGGAAGCUGCGCUACGGAGAUUGUUAGGUCAUUCCGUGAGAUCAUUGUUUCACUGGUUAAUGUCGCCUCACGUGUAUAGAGCAUGUGUACUCUUCUCAUCCACAGUGCUCACCUCCAACAUAGAACUACCCAUUGUGAGAUACCACAAGCCCCAGGGAAAUGCAAGGCCGAUCACCUUCCUACAGUGAGAUCCGCUGUAGGAUUUGGAUGAUCUGAUGUGUGGAAAAAGAAUUUAUAUUGUUAUUGAUAAUUGAUAAUUGCAGGUUUUGAUGCAUUGUUUAGUACAGUUGAUGGCAUUGUUGUCCACUGCGAGUUUUAUGAAAUAGAGUGAGGAUUUAGUGAUCCAGAUCAUAUCUAUGGCUAAACUCUCGAUGUGCCCAGAGGGAAGCAUUGCUAAUGCCAGCUCCCAGUCACUGAGCAUGCCCAGUGGUGCUCAGAGACUGAGGAAUAUAUAUGAAAACAAGACACAUUCAAAGACUAUUCAAAGAGGUUUUCUGGAAAUCACUCCUAAGUAAACAUCAUUCCAAAACAUCAACUAAGUGCCAGGCGGUGGUUAAUAAAGUGUGUAUCACACAAACUGAAUAUUGGCUUUGUGAAGAGACAUGAUAGAGUGUGUUGUAUAGCAUGAGGGGGAAAAUAGGCAGGGAUAUACAUUAUAUAGCAUGAGGGGAAAAAAGCCAGCGAUAGAAAUGCAGGCAGUUGGAUUUGUCUGUCCAUCUCGUGUUACUCAGUCCUAGAACAGAUUAGAGUAAUCUGGGACAUCCAGAAAAUAUGUAAAUACUUUGGCCACACAUGAGACAAAUUGAAUGGCAGACUCAGGAGCUGGAUGUCAUACUUUCAUGUAUUUCACGCCCUCCAGAGGAUUCACAGGCGCAGUGGGGUUGAUAACAGCACCAAUAUUACACAAGAGGGCAAAACUUUAUUUAGUGACCAGAUUUUUCAGAUUAAGCCACAGACCCAAGUCUCAAGGAAACCUAUCAAAAGUAAACAGUUAACAGAAUGCACUUUGAUUUCUUCUCAUAUGUAUCAGUUAAGCUUGGAUUAAUACAGUU